GAGUCUGAAACACCACUAAGCAAGGGGCACCAUGAAGGCCAAGGAGCUCUCCAAACAGGAGGAAUCCCGUUACAGAAUCACCCACCACAACAGGACCAAGCGGCGUGGUAGUGAACGUGGGUGAGUGCAGUGUGGAUAGCAAUUGAGAUUGCUUCAACUAUGUCAUGCUCAUUCCGGCUUGUCAAUUAGAUAUGGGGAUGUGCUCCCGAAAUGUACCAGUAGCGGGAAACAACGCAGUCAUGCGAAAAUAGAAUGUUUUAUGGUAAGUUAAUAAAAAAAAUAAUAGUGUAUGGACUCCAGGCCAAAGUACAACACGCCCCAUCCACAUCGACGGGGCGGCAGUGGAACAGGUAGACAGGUUCGAGUUCCUCGGUGUCCAAAUCACUAAAGACUUAAUGGUCCAAACACGCGCAUAGUCGUGAAGAAGGUUCGACAGUGCCUCUUCCCCCUCAGGGGUUGAAAUAGUUUGGCUUGGGCCCUCAAAUCCUGAAAAGGUUCUACAGCUGUACCAUUGAGAGCAUAUUGACUGGCUGCAUCACUGCCUGGUAUGGCUAUAGCACCACCCUCGAUUGCAUGGCGCUACAAAGGGUUGUUUGGACAGCCCAGUACAUUACUGGGGCCGAGCUCCAUGCCAUCCAGGACCUCUGUAUCAGGUGGUGUAAAAGACCCCAAAACCAUCCAAGCUAUAGACUAUUUUCUCUGCUAACGCAUGGCAAGAGGUACUGGUGCGUAUGACACCAACGGGCUCUUCAACAGCUUCUAUCACCAUGCAAUAUGACCGAUAAAUAGCUCCACGGACUGAGUUUACCUUUUAUUUCAGGAUUUUGCACUUUCUAUGCACACUCACAGGGCCCUACACACACACACACACACACACACACACACACACACACACACACACACACCAUCAUUUACUCACUCACACAUAAAACGCACAGACAUUUACACUGACUCUACAUAACCACUCACACACAAGCGUCUGCUUCUCUGUUCAUCUUCUAUCCUGUUACAUAGUCACCUUAACUUUAUACAUAUCUACCUCCAUCACUCCAGUAUCCCUGCACAUGUAAACAAUUGUAUUCAAACUGACUUUUUAAAUAUGUCCUGUAUAUAGUAUGUAUAGUAUGUAUAGUAUGCUUACUUUAUUGUGUAUUUCAUGUUUCUUAUUCUUAUUUCUCGUGUGUUUUUUUUCUAGUAUGACAUUGUUAUUGAUUAUAGCAUUGUUGGGUUUUAAGUUAGCAAAAAAGGCAUUUCACUGUACAGUACUUGUGCAUGUGACAUUACAACUUCAAACUUGACAUCCUGGCAUUUAAAGUAUACUUAUUUUUUCAAAAUGUUACAUACUAUAAAACAUUAUAUUUUUUUUUUCUCCCACAUGCUCAAACAGCCUACUAUUUAGGCAUCAAUAUUACAAUUGCGGUAAAAUAUGGAGCACUCUGGGAAGAUUACUAGAUGUCUUUAGUAGAUCCGGCAAUGUGCUUAACUUUGAUAGAUGUAAACACAAUUAACCUUAUGCCAUCCACACCCCACAUAAACACUGUUUUCCUUCUGCUCUCUUAAUUAGGCAGAGAACAAAGUAGCUUUUCCAUGGACCUUUCUUUCGUUUUUAGCGUCAAUUACAUCCUAAUGAAUAGAGUUGAAUGAAAACUGCGUUUUGGGGUGUGGAUGACAGAGUUAAUUGUGUUUAUGACUUUUAGAGUCUAAUCAAUAAGAUUGAACCUUUAGUGUCAUAGAAUAUGUUCCGUUCUGUCUACACGUUUUGUCACAUGCGUUAUGAUCAUUACAGAUUUAUGUACAUGUAGCUAGAAACACUAAAGGUUUAUAAUGAGUUUGAUGUGAACUAUUUAAUUGUUGAUGUAAGUUAAUAUUUUCAUUGUUGUCAUAAACUGUUAUAAAGCAUCAUGUCAAGCACUAUAUUAUGUUCAUAACUGCCAUUACCCAUUAGGACAGGUUGGAAGCAUUGCCUCAUUGGUUUACCAUAUUAUAUGUGAAUUCAAGUGUAUCAGAAUGCCUUUACAAUACAGCAGUUAUAAUCACUUCAUUAAUAUUCAGGGAGUCAUGUUUUGAACACAAUUCAGUCAUUGUCCUUCAUGUGUAGUCAUUUUUUUCUGUAGUCCCUAAAGACUCAUUGUCCUUGGAAUGACACUCAAAUAAAGACAUAAAUAAUAUGGAAA